rnacentral:rRNA from 1 species
AUUAUGGCUCAGGAUGAACGCUAGCGGCAGGCUUAACACAUGCAAGUCGAGGGGCAUCGGGAGUAGCAAUACUGCCGGCGACCGGCGCAAGGGUGCGUAACGCGUGAGCAACAUGCCCGUAUCAGGGGGAUAAUCCAUGGAAACGUGGUCUAAUACCCCAUAGUAAUUAUGUAAGGCAUCUUAUAUAAUUUAAAGCUUUGGUGGAUACGGAUUGGCUCGCGUGACAUUAGCUGGAUGGUAAGGUAACGGCUUACCAUGGCUACGAUGUCUAGGGGUUCUGAGAGGAAGGUCCCCCACACUGGAACUGAGACACGGUCCAGACUCCUACGGGAGGCAGCAGUGAGGAAUAUUGGACAAUGGAUGGAAAUCUGAUCCAGCCAUGCCGCGUGCAAGGAAGACGGCCCUAUGGGUUGUAAACUGCUUUUGUAUGGGAGCAAUAAGGGCUACGUGUAGUCCGAUGAGAGUACCAUACGAAUAAGCACCGGCUAACUCCGUGCCAGCCGCCGC